CUCAGGGUGGAGAAGUAUUAAGGGGUUGCCAGUCUCUGCCAGGCACAAGAAAUCCACCGUCUUCCUCUCCUGGGCUAGGGUAAAAAGAACACAUGUACUGCAUAAAGCGAGGGAAUUAAGAAAUGCAAAGGUAUCUGGUAUAUAAAGAGCUGUGAGAGAGCGUACCCUUUGCAGCCUGCUCUUAAAGGACCCAGUCACCAAUCCAAGACUCAGAACUCAGAUGAAGGAGUCAGGAACCCUGGACAAGACUUCACAGACCGGCCAUCCAGUGAUGUUGAGUUUGUUAUAGCUCGGUGUGGUGAGCAUGCUGUUCAGCUUUUGACUAACUAAGGUAUUAGAACUGUGACUGCUGAGGAUACCUAAGGACAACCGUGUCUUAGUCUCCACACCUGGUAAAAAGACCUGCAGAAGUCAUUGGAUUAACAAGUAAGAGAUGAAUUUCCCACUCGGCUGCCUUGCUGUAGAUUGGAGAUCCCCUCUCUCCACAGUCCACCACCAGAAGGGAGGACUUAAAAGUCCCAUUUUUUAAACUGGGAACUGAGGGAGUUUCACUCUCCCCCUGCCCCCCUCAUUCUGAUGGACGAGGAGAAGGAAGAGGCGAGUCAGCUUCAAUUUUUAACCAGCAGAUCCCUUUAGACUCCC